UCGAGCAUCGCGACGGACGCACACACGCAGCUUCACUCUCCGUGCCCAGUCCGGCAGAAAUGCGUGGAUAUCAACCAUUGAGGUCUCAACUGCCAUUAUCUUGGCCUUUACUUUCUCGGUAAGAUUGUCCGCCAGUAAGAAACGUCUGCGACAGCAGCGCCUGCAGCGAGGAACGUGAGAGGGUUCCCGAGCAAAAAAGGCCGCGGUCAUCCAGACUAAACAUGUGCAGCACAGAAGAGGCUUCCAGAUGUUUUCUCCCCCUCUUGUCUUGGCGGCGGGGAUGGUCCAUUGAAGGCUUUAGAGGAUUUUCUUCCAUACACGUACAAGACGCCCGGCGCGGUAUGGAAUGUAAAGAAGUAUGGAGCUCCGUUGGACGCAUCUUCUGGAUAGUGGGUAAGUAUUUUCACUUUACGGCCACAAACGAUUCUUCGCCAUUCGUUAAUAGUGAGACAGCCUGGAAAACAAUGAUCCGUGGUGUUUUCAGCAUUUGUUGGUGAAAUGAUUAACGCCUUCUCCUGCAUUCAACGUUUCUCACUUGAACAAAAUGAUGUAAUAAAGCAUUUGUGACUCA